rnacentral:rRNA from 1 species
CGCGGCCUAUCAGCUUGUUGGUGAGGUAAUGGCUCACCAAGGCUUCGACGGGUAGCCGGCCUGAGAGGGCGACCGGCCACAUUGGGACUGAGAUACGGCCCAAACUCCUACGGGAGGCAGCAGUGGGGAAUAUUGCACAAUGGGCGAAAGCCUGAUGCAGCAACGCCGCGUGCGGGAUGACGGCCUUCGGGUUGUAAACCGCUUUCACUCAUGACGAAGCUUUUUGUGACGGUAGUGGGAGAAGAAGCACCGGCUAACUACGUGCCAGCAGCCGCGGUGAUACGUAGGGUGCGAGCGUUGUCCGGAUUUAUUGGGCGUAAAGAGCUUGUAGGCGGUUUGUCACGUCGGGAGUGAAAACUCAGGGCUUAACCCUGAGCCUGCUUCCGAUACGGGCAGACUUGAGGAAGGUAGGGGAGAAUGGAAUUCCUGGUGGAGCGGUGGAAUGCGCAGAUAUCAGGAGGAACACCAGUGGCGAAGGCGGUUCUCUGGACCUUUCCUGACGCUGAGAAGCGAAAGUGUGGGGAGCAAACAGGCUUAGAUACCCUGGUAGUCCACGCCGUAAACGGUGGGUACUAGGUGUGGGGGACAUUCCACGUUCUCCGUGCCGCAGCUAACGCAUUAAGUACCCCGCCUGGGG